GGGGGCUGGGCAGAGAUGGCUGUUUGGAGGGUACCCCACCCAAAGGAUGCUGAUUUUGAGAGUAGCUGGGGACUGACUUUGAAUCCCCUGGUCGGAGGGAGGAGACCCAGCCUUCCCAACAUGCAUUCUAACUUCUUCCGGCCCUGCCCUCACUGCAGAGGGGUCGGAGCUACACAUCAUCCUGGGCCUGUUCGGCCUCCUGCUGUUGCUCACCUGCCUCUGUGGAACUGCCUGGCUCUGUUGCAGCCCCAACAGGAAGAAUCCCCUCUGGCCAAGUGUCCCAGACCCAGCUCACAGCAGCCUGGGCUCCUGGGUGCCCACAAUCAUGGAGGAGG
rnacentral:lncRNA from 1 species